AUGGCGUCCUCCUCCGGUGCUUCCCAUCUUGGUCUCAGCGGCCAAGUUACGGAGAAGCUAUCCCGCACCAACUACAUCCUCUAGCGCAUGCAAGUCACGCCGCAGCUCAGUGGCGCGGGCAUCUUCGGCUACGUCGACGGCGCUACACCGGAGUCGGCCAGGAUCCUCUCCACCAAGGACAAGGAAAGGAAGGAAUCCACCGAGCCAAAUCCUCUCCAUCCCAUCUGGGUGCGUGAGGAUCAACAUGUUCUUGGGUACUUGCUGAACAACCUCACCAAGGAGGUGCUUGUGUAGGUGACUGCGAUCACCACGUCGCACGAGCUCUGGGCGGCACUGUCAGGCAUGUUCUCCUCGCAGUCUCUCAGCCACGCCAACAACAUCAUAACCUCCCCGGUGAACGCCCAGAAGGGCAACAAGACCGUCACCACCUACUUCGCCAACGUGCGUGGCUUCGCCGACGAGCUCGCCGCCGCCGGGAAGCCGCUCCAGGAUGAUGAGCUCGUCUCCUACAUCCUCCAUGGCCUCGACAUGGACUAUCAACCCCUCGUCUCUGCCCUUGACGCGCGCAUCACUCUAGUAUCCCUUGAUGAUCUCUUCUCCAUGUUAAGCAAUUUCGAUCAAAGGGUUGCGCAGUACUAG
rnacentral:rRNA from 1 species